rnacentral:rRNA from 1 species
AUUGAACGCUGGCGGCAGGCCUAACACAUGCAAGUCGAGCGAGCGGCGGACGGGUGAGUAAUGUAUGGGGAUCUGCCUGAUGGAGGGGGAUAACUACUGGAAACGGUAGCUAAUACCGCAUACCAUCAGAUGCACCCAUAUGGGAUUAGCUUGUAGGUGGGGUAACGGCUCACCUAGGCGCCGAUCCCUAGCUGGUCUGAGAGGAUGAUCAGCCAAACGGGAACGGAGACACGGCCCAUACUCCUACGUGAGGCAGCAGUGGGGAAUAUUGCACAAUGGGCGCAAGCCUGAUGCAGCCAUGCCGCGUGUAUGAAGAAGGCCUUCGGGUUGUAAAGUACUUUCAGUCGGGAGGCGUUACCGACAGAAGAAGCACCGGCUAACUCCGUGCCAGCAGCCGCGGUAAUAC